UGACCAUUUCUUUAUCGAAUUUUACGCAGUGAUAAAGAAAUUGAAUGCCAUACGGACAGCUAGGUCAAAUGCCGA
rnacentral:sRNA from 1 species